rnacentral:rRNA from 1 species
AAUGAACGCUGGCGGCGUGCCUUACACAUGCAAGUCGAGCGAGGCCGGGUAGCAAUACCCGAGUCGAGCGGCGAACGGGUGAGUAACGCGUGGAUAACCUGCCCUGAGGUGUGGAACAACCGGGGGAAACUCCGCCUAAUACCGCAUGAAACCGAGAGGUCAAAGGCGGCUCGCAAGGGCUGUCGCCACAGGAGGGGUCCGCGUCCGAUUGCUAGUUGGUGGGGUAAUGGCCUACCAAGGCGACGAUCGGUAGCCGGCCUGAGAGGGUGAUCGGCCACACUGGAACUGAGACACGGUCCAGACUCCUACGGGAGGCAGCAGUGGGGAAUUUUGCGCAAUGGGCGAAAGCCUGGCGCAGCAACGCCGCGUGGAGGAUGAAGGUCUUUGGGUUGUAAACUCCUGUCAGCGGGGAAAAAGGGACCGUACCCAAUACGUACGGGACUUGAUUGUACCCGCAGAGGAAGCCCCGGCUAACUCUGUGCCAGCAGCCGCGGUAAUACAGAGGGGGCAAGCGUUAUUCGGU